AUGUAGACCUGCUCAAUGCCAGGGUCUUAGCGCGGAUGAACAUCGCCUAGUCUACGGAGGCUCUUUGCUUUCCGCACCGCGCUACGACGAGUUAGCCAGUACCUCCUUACAGUGGCUGCCUGGCUCUGCUAGACAAGCUGACUGUGAAUUAGGGAAGGCUGAAAGAAGCUGAGGAGAAGGGCAAUCUUGUAGGAGGACCAGCAGUCUCAAUUAAUAUGGACUACCGAGAUCUCUCAAACACCGAACAGGCAGCAUACACAAGCUGAUAUGAGGCCUCCAACACACAUACAGUGGAGGACUGCCAGUUUCAGCCCCAGGUUACACAUUGAAAACAAUUUAAACAGAGACAGAAGACCACAAGUCCAGCUACUUGAAUAGAUGGAAGAUUUACACUGCAAAGAUAUUGCCAGAAUCAUUUCUUAGCAAUUUCCCCACUCCCGUGUUGGCCAGUACGGAUUACAUGAGAACUGGCCGCCUAUCGCUGGAUACAGAUGCACCAAUGAGGGUUAAAAACUUUCCGAGCGAAAAGUGGAACAGAAAGAAAAGAAUCUCCUAGCAUUUCCCCAAGGGUUCACUCUCCCGCCACACACACUCUCCAAAGGAUCGCUACAGAUCCAACUCUAUGUCAGCUUCUUGGCUUUGCUGUAGAGGGAGUCCACUACUUUACUCCUGUUCUGAAUAGUUUCCAGAGCAGCUUCAUAAGUUUUAUCUACUAGGGGUUCAUCGAAAAUGAUCAGGACACCCUCCCCCUGGUCCAAAAUCCCAUGAAACUUUUUGUCAAGAAUCAUCUGUGAUAAUUUUCUCUCCACGUCGGCCUUGGAGAGUUUGAUGAGGCUAGAUAUGUGUUCAAUCUGGACUCGGGAAAAAGACUCAAUAACCCGGAUCAGAUUCUGUUCCUGUAAGUUAUUGUACAACUUGGCCAAAUGUGUGCUGAUGAUUGGGUCGUCCCGGAGCUCUGCCCUGUAGUCUGUCAGGGCCUUUUCAAAAUCUGCCAGUGAUCUGUUCUUGCUAGCUUGAGCCACACAUUUCAAUGCUUCUGUCUGCCUCCCUGCACACCGAAGUGCAAGCUUUCUGCUCACCAAAGCCUGGACAUCUUCUGGGGUGUUGAGCAUGAUUCUGCACAGCAACAUCUACUUCAGAGAUGUGAUGGCCUUGGGGCUAUCAAUGGAGUCGUAGCCUUCGAAUGCCUCAUAGAAGUAUGAGUAUGCAGUUUUCCAGUCCUUCUCCUCUGCUGCAUGAAUAAUACCUGACUGCAUGUCCAGGGUGGCCUGCAAUUUAGGGGGACAGUAGAUGGCAUUUGCUGUGGUUCGAGCAGAGGUUAAGGCAGCUCGGGCUUUCAGCAGAUUACUCAGAGCAUGGUAAGUUUUGCUUUCUAAAAGCUGUACUUCCACCAAAAGGGCUUUAUCAUCCAUCUUUUUCAACUCCCGAAGCAGCUGAGAACCCAAAUGCAAUGCUUCCUGGUACCUCUUGGUAUCAAAAUACAAAGACACCAGCCUUGCCUCCAAUGCUUGGCGUAAGAAAGUUCUUUUCUCUGAUUUGGCCCAUUCGAUGCACUCUAAACAUAGCUCGACCUCCUGCCCUGUAGCUGCUUCCAUAUCUAGAAACAGAUCAAGAAGAGACCGGACCAGACGAGCUGCUUUAGUUUACUGAUGGAAUUCAAGAAAGGUCGUACAUACUUCAGGAGUCCUCCAAGCUCAUCAGCUUGUCCAGUCUUCGCCAGGAGAGAACCCAGUUCAAGGAUGCUCUGCUCUUUGACCUGGACUGCCUCCUCAUCAUUUUCUUGAUUGUCAUGUUUCACGAUGGAGUGGAGGAUGUCGAUGGAGGCCUCCCGGUCGGUGCUAAGUAGAGACUGGACUCUCUGGAACUCCACCACCGCUGCGGCCGCCAUCUUACCACUCUCACACCGUCCCCGGCUGCCUCACACUGUCCCCAGCCGCCCUUUCUUUUUAUAAAUGACAAACAUACAGAUGAGGGAAAUGCAAACUUUCAUAAUAGCCUCAAAAAUACCUUGCAGUAAUGCUAACCAGGCAAGUCAGAGACUUAGAUAAUAAAAACUUUAAGGCAUUGAAGAGAGAAAUUGAAAUCACCAGAAGAUGGGAAGAUGUCCCGUGCUCACAGAUUAGUAGUAAAUUAAUAUUGCAAAAAAAACCAUAAUACCCAAAGCAUUCUAAAGAUUCAAUGCAAUCUCCAUUAAAAUGUCAACACAGUAUUUACAUAAAUUUAAAAAAGCAAUCUUCAACUUUAUAAGGGAACACUGAUAGCUAAACAUACUGAAUAAUAAACAAACACCCAGAUUUUUCAUUGUAUUACAGUGCUAUCAUAAUUAAAAUGACAUCAUAUUGGCAUAAAACCAGCCAUGUUGAUCAAUGGAAUGGAACAGGAAGACAUGGCCAUAACUCACACACCUACAAACAGCUGAUUUUUUUUUUAUAAAGUAGAAAACAGGUACACACUGGAGAAAAGACAGCACCUUCAACAAAUGGUGCUGGUCAGACUAGACAGAUGCAUGUAGAAGAAUCAAAGCAACCCUGCAUGUGGAGGUUUGAUCUGUUGCUAUGUACUGUAAUGCUAAAUUCUAUACACAAAAGUCUAGUUGCCUGCAAAUGAAUUCUUGGAUUUACCAGCUUUUGUUGUGCAAACCUUGUUCCUUAAUUUAAAACUAUUGAUUAAAUAAAAAUGGCUAGAGCUAAUUGCUGGAGGGAUUAGAGGUAGGUGGGAUUUGAGUUACCUGGUUUGGGGUUGGAGAGGAAGGAGAAAGGACAGACAGGGCAGCGUGAGGAGGAAGCCACCAUCAGAGGAGAUGGACCAUGAACACAUGGCCAGAAGCAGCAGCAAGCAUAGGGGGUACACUGCUGGGGGAAGUAGCCAGGCCAGCAGUUAGAUUAAGGGUUACCUCCAAGUAGUUGUCAAAGCCAAAUAAAUUAAGAUUGGUCUGAGUCUUAUUUAUUUGUAAGCUAGUUGGGGAUAAGUUUAAUUUGGUUCAAUUAUAACUGCACAAAACUAACUCCAGAUAGAUCAAGGACCCCAACAUAAGACUGGAUACCUUGAUUCUGAU
ensembl:processed_transcript A730017L22Rik RIKEN cDNA A730017L22 gene